rnacentral:tRNA from 1 species
CAAAAUAUAGCUUAAAUAAAGCAUCUCGCUUACACCGAGUAAAUAUCUGUUAAACUCAGAUUAUUUUGA